rnacentral:rRNA from 1 species
UAGAGUUUGAUCAUGGCUCAGGAUGAACGCUAGCGACAGGCUUAACACAUGCAAGUCGAGGGGCAGCGGGGAGCAAGCUUGCUUGCUCUGCCGGCGACCGGCGCACGGGUGAGUAACACGUAUGCAACCUGCCCUCCGCAGGGGGAUAACCCGGAGAAAUCCGGACUAAUACCGCGUGGUACACCUGUGGGGCAUCCCACGGGUGUUAAAAGGAAGUGAUUCCGGCGGAGGAUGGGCAUGCGGCGCAUUAGCUUGUUGGCGGGGUAACGGCCCACCAAGGCGACGAUGCGUAGGGGUUCUGAGAGGAAGGUCCCCCACACUGGUACUGAGACACGGACCAGACUCCUACGGGAGGCAGCAGUGAGGAAUAUUGGUCAAUGGGCGGGAGCCUGAACCAGCCAAGUCGCGUGAGGGAAGACGGUCCUAUGGAUUGUAAACCUCUUUAGGCGGGGAGCAAUGCCGGGCACGCGUGCCCGGAGGGAGAGUACCCGCAGAAUAAGCAUCGGCUAACUCCGUGCCAGCAGCCGCGGUAAUACGGAGGAUGCGAGCGUUAUCCGGAUUUAUUGGGUUUAAAGGGUGCGUAGGCGGGAUGCCAAGUCAGCGGUAAAAAAGCGGUGCUCAACGCCGUCGAGCCGUUGAAACUGGCGUUCUUGAGUGGGCGAGAAGUAUGCGGAAUGCGUGGUGUAGCGGUGAAAUGCAUAGAUAUCACGCAGAACUCCGAUUGCGAAGGCAGCAUACCGGCGCCCUACUGACGCUGAGGCACGAAAGCGUGGGUAUCGAACAGGAUUAGAUACCCUGGUAGUCCACGCAGUAAACGAUGAAUGCUAACUGUCCGGUGCGAGUGAGCGCUGGGCGGUACAGCGAAAGCGUUAAGCAUUCCACCUGGGGAGUACGCCGGCAACGGUGAAACUCAAAGGAAU